CACUUCGGUGACUAGUGGCAAACGGGUGAGUAACGCGUAAGCAACCUGCCCUUAAGUAGGGGAUAACUCUGAGAAAUUAGAGCUAAUACCUUAUGUGGUGAUGGAGGUAAGGCUUCAUCACUAAAGCCUUAGGGCGCUUAAGGAGGGGCUUGCGUCCGAUUAGCUAGUUGGUAGGGUAAUGGCUUACCAAGGCGACGGUCGGUAGCUGGUUUGAGAGGAUGUCCAGCCACACUGGGAUUGAGAUACGGCCCAGACUCCUACGGGAGGCAGCAGCAAGGAAUAUUGUGCAAUGGGCGAAAGCCUGACACAGCGACGUCGCGUGGGGGAUGAAGGCCUUCGGGUUGUAAACCCCUUUUCUCAGGGAAGAGUAAUGACGGUACCUGAGGAAUAAGCCUCGGCUAACUACGUGCCAGCAGCCGCGGUAAUACGUAGGAGGCAAGCGUUAUCCGGAUUUACUGGGCGUAAAGAGGGCGUAGGCGGCUUUUCAAGUCGGAUGUAAAAUCUCCCGGCUUAACUGGGAGGGAUCACCCGAUACUGUUAGGCUAGAGGACAGCAGAGGGAGGUGGAAUUCCCGGUGUAGUGGUGAAAUGCAUAGAUAUCGGGAGGAACACCAGUGGCGAAGGCGGCCUCCUGGGCUGUUUCUGACGCUGAGGCCCGAAAGCGUGGGGAGCGAACAGAAUUAGAUACUCUGGUAGUCCACGCCGUAAACGAUGGACACUAGGUAUGGGGAGUAUCGACCCUCUCCGUGCCGAAGC
rnacentral:rRNA from 1 species